UCGAUAAAAACAUAAUAUAAGAUUUGACAAAAUAUUCUCUCAAACUAUUUUAGUUAUUUAGCAAGUAAUUUAUCUAAGCUGGAACCUUAUUCUAAAUUCAAACAGGAUUGCAAUAAUGGGUAAGUAUUUUAGUUUUUAUAAUACUAAGGGAUCAAUUCACUUUGGUGCUUGGACCAUGGCAAUAAAUAAUAAAAGCUCUUCAAGGCUUUUGCAUUCAAAAUUAAAUAAAAUAAUUAUUUUUUUUUUCUUUUCCACUAUUUUUUGUGAACACAAUUUAAUAUUAAUUAUGUCUUUUUUAAUUUCUUUUCUUUUUUCUUUUAUUUUUUUUUUUUCAUUUAUCAGCCAAACGCAUCUAGAGUCUACUCCAUCUUCCUUUUUCUUUUGUUUUCACUUAUAACUAAUCUUACUUUAUUUUCGUUUCUCAUUUUCUAUACCAAAAACAGUAUUUCAAGACAAUCUCUCUCUUUGAUAAAACAGAGGUACAGCGACACGAAGAAAAAUAUAAGAGAAAAUAAGCAACCAUUGAAGCAAUUAAAGACUUGCAUUUAUGAAACAUGGUCUCAAAUGGUCAUUAAUAUAUCACGAAGGAUGGAUGCUUCAAUAAGCUCUACCCUUCAAUAAGCUCAAGCCAAGGUCCAAUUUCUUCGCACAUAAUUUGUAGCUCCAAGACUCCUGCCCAGAUGGAGCAGCAAAGGACAAUGGACGAUCGCUGCAGAAAGCCACAUGAGCUGUAGACAAGUAGAGGGUUCCGGCGACAGGGCCAGUUGUGGUGGAAAGGUAACAGGCAAAUGUCUU